rnacentral:rRNA from 1 species
UACGAAGGGGGCUAGCGUUGCUCGGAAUCACUGGGCGUAAAGCGCACGUAGGCGGCUUUUUAAGUCAGGGGUGAAAUCCUGGAGCUCAACUCCAGAACUGCCUUUGAUACUGGGAAGCUCGAGUCCGGGAGAGGUGAGUGGAACUCCGAGUGUAGAGGUGAAAUUCGUAGAUAUUCGGAAGAACACCAGUGGCGAAGGCGGCUCUCUGGACCGAUACUGACGCUGAGACGCGAAAGCGUGGGGAGCAAACAGG